UAAAGGUNCAGCUGGUAUAUCUGGCAUAUU
rnacentral:piRNA from 1 species